GGAAUUUGUAAUCUUGCUGAGGUCUUCUCUGUUGCUAAAUAGCAUGUUGAAUGUUUUAGAGUAAAGUGAGGCGAUUAUAUUAAUACAACUCACCUUGUCCGAGAGAGAAUUACAUGGUUAUCCAAACUUCACGUCAAGGAUGCCUCUGGAGCUCCUGCCACAGACCUCAUCCUCUUUUCCAUGCACCCGGACCCAGGCAGGUGGCCAAUCGAGGGGAACAGGAAAACAGAUGUCCAGUGAAACCUCUCUUUCUCCCCUACUGUUGGGAAACCUCAAGCUGGGUUGUGCUGUAUAUCCUGUCCCAUUCUACUGGAUGUACCAUCAACCUCAAGGGAGAAAACAGCGGUCUCUUUCAAAGUGAGUGUUACCGUGUGGACUUUGGGAGGGACGGAGGCGGAUGACGAGGAUGGCACUGAGCAUAUGUUAGUGUGGCACCCCAUGUAACACGAUUGGAGACUUGGGUCUUAGUUCCUCUGAACUGACAUUUUGUUGGCCUACAUUUUUAAACCGUUCUGUCCUUGAACCUUAGUUUUAUUAUUUUAGCCGCCUAAGAUACAGAUCUCUAGCCCCAUGUUUAUAAGACCUUACUAAGACUGUCUAUGUAGGCAUCUUGAAAUGUUCUGUUAUGGAGAAGUGUUCUGUAGUGGAGAAGUCAUCUGUCGUGGAGAAGUGAUCUGUAGUGGAGAAGUGAUCUGUAAUGGAGAAGUGAUCUGUAGUGGAGAAAUGUUCUGUUAUGGAGAAGUGUUCUGUUAUGCCACACACAACCUUUAAAUAAUGAAAAGGGAAACAUAUUGAAAGAGAAAUGUACUGGAGGUGGAAAAGGCCCCUGGGGAAAAACACAGUCCUCAUUAGUGUUUCAUUUAUUAAGUUCAAAUCUCCUCAUCUGGAGAGGCCACAGAACGGUAAAAAUCCCCUCUCAUUUUUAUGAUCUGUCAAGCCCACUGGUUUUAUAGGAGGGAGACAGCAGCCAGGCACCUCGUCAAUGGCAGCAGCAAUAAGCACAAUUGCAUUGUGAAUGGUUUGUUCUCUCACUCCCUUUUUCCCAACUCUUGUAUUGUGCUCCCUUGUAUUCUCCCCGUUGACCCUCCUUUCUUCUGUAAUUGUCUUCAUUUAACCUGUUUUCUAAAUGUACAUUUGAGUAAUUUAGCAGACGCUUUUAUUCAGAGAGACUUAAAGUAGCAAUUAGGGUUAAGUGCAUUGCUCAAGGGCAUAUCAACAGCUUUUUCACGUAGUCAGCUCAGGGAUUUGAACCAGCGACCUUUUAGUUACUGGCCCAACGAUCUUAAGCACUAGGCUACCACGGCUAAAAUCUUUUAAACAUUUUAAUCACCCAUUCUUUACCUCCUGCUGUCGUAAUCACUCUUUACAUAAGGAUAUGUCAUAGAGGUCGUCGCAAUAUGAAAGGAUGAGAUGGAUUAAAAUACGUUUCUCCCUGGAGAAUAAAAAAUAUAUACAACGGAG